UACGGAGGGUGCAAGCGUUGCUCGGAAUCACUGGGCGUAAAGCGACCGCAGGCGGCCCGCUAAGUCGGAUGUGAAAGCCCUGGGCUCAACCCAGGAAUGGCAUUCGAAACUGGCGGGCUCGAGUACGGGAGAGGGGGGUGGAAUUCCUGGUGUAGGGGUGAAAUUCGUUGAUAUCAGGAGGAACACCGGCGGCGAAGGCGGCCCCCUGGCCCGCAACUGACGCUCAUGGUCGAAAGCGUGGGGAGCAAACAGG
rnacentral:rRNA from 1 species